rnacentral:rRNA from 1 species
AGAUCUGGAAGGCGGGUAACCGCUGGAGGUGACUGGUACUAAUAGGCCGAGGGCUUGUCCUCAGUUG